CGGGAGGUAGCAUAGUUUGGUUAAUGUACCUGUUUUGGGAACAGGAGAUCAUGAGUUCGAAUCUCAUUCUCCCGA
rfam:Saprolegnia parasitica CBS 223.65 mitochondrial scaffold supercont2.1443, whole genome shotgun sequence.